rnacentral:rRNA from 1 species
GUAGGUGGCAAGCGUUGUCCGGAAUUAUUGGGCGUAAAGCGCGCGCAGGUGGUUCUUUAAGUCUGAUGUGAAAGCCCCCGGGCUCAACCGGGGAGGGUCAUUGGAAACUGGGGAACUUGAGUGCAGGAGAGGAAAGUGGAAUUCCACGUGUAGCGGUGAAAUGCAUAGAUAUGUGGAGGAACACCAGUGGCGAAGGCGACUUUCUGGCCUGUAACUGACACUGAGGCGCGAAAGCGUGGGGAGCAAACAGGAUUAGAUACCCUGGUAGUCCACGCCGUAAACGAUGAGUGCUAAGUGUUGGGGGGUUUCCGCCCCUCAGUGCUGCAGCUAACGCAUUAAGCACUCCGCCUGGGGAGUACGGUCGCAAGACUG